AUACGAAGGGGGCUAGCGUUGCUCGGAAUUACUGGGCGUAAAGGGAGCGUAGGCGGACUGUUUAGUCAGAGGUGAAAGCCCAGGGCUCAACCUUGGAAUUGCCUUUGAUACUGGCAGUCUUGAGUACGGAAGAGGUAUGUGGAACUCCGAGUGUAGAGGUGAAAUUCGUAGAUAUUCGGAAGAACACCAGUGGCGAAGGCGACAUACUGGUCCGUUACUGACGCUGAGGCUCGAAAGCGUGGGGAGCAAACAGGAUUAGAAACCCGGGUAGUCC
rnacentral:rRNA from 1 species